rnacentral:sRNA from 1 species
AUCGGGCAAGAUGUCGGCCUGCAACCUGCAGGCUGCUUAAUCAUCCCGGUAUCCGCUCUCCGUUGACCACGGAUGUACUGGCACUGUCGAGAGCAUGAUACCAGCAAGGUCAGGCAGAUUGCCUGGCCUUUUUUAUU